GUUUCGUGUGGUCGUUUUUUUUUUUUUUUUUUUUUUUUUUUUUGGCUGUCUGGCUCUCUCUUGCGAAUUUGGUGUGGUUCGGAU
rnacentral:ribozyme from 1 species